CGACCCUCCUCUUUCACUUUCUCUCCUCACCUCCUUCAGCCUAAGCUAUUCUUCAUCUUAUUGAAGCUAUAUCUUUGUCUUCCUUCUUCUAUGCAAGGUUACCCAACUCUAAACUUCACUAUUUUAAAUUUUUUUUCUCUUCCUUUUUCCUGUUUAGCAAAGGUUGAAGAACCGAAAUGGACAAAGAGGAGCUAUAAAUCCAAAACUUAUUAAAACUUAUUUUUUGGCCAUUAAUGUGUUUAAAUUUGGAAUUAAUGAUUUCGUUUUCAAUUUGUAUAAUUCAUUAGUGAUUAAAUUUGACAUUAUUGUUUUCGUUUUAGUUCGCCAUUAAUAUUUAUUGGCCAUUAAUAUGUUUGAAUAUUUGGUAUAGUUCAAAAUUCUGGGGAUUUAUUUUUUUUAGAAGGUA